rnacentral:misc_RNA from 1 species
CGCACCUUGCACCCUGCGGUAUUCCACAGGGUAUGCCCGUUUGAGUAUCAUUAAAUCAUCAACUCCAAAACCUUUGUGUUCUUGGUGCUUGGUCUUGAGGGUCAUUGUGGGCUCUUUUUGAGUCUGCUCCCUUUAAAUCUAUUAGCGAGACUUCCCUGUGCUGGAACUUGUGUCUUGACGUGAUAGUCUAUCUGCGUCAAAUUUUGCAGUUCUCAUUGGGCUUGCUUCCAAUCGUCCUGUUUGGACACUCGGAAUCGAGUGCAUUUUUUUUGCACCCUGUUUCAAACCUAUUUUGAUCUCAAAUCGGGUAGGACUACCCGCUGAACUUAA